AUUUUGACUAUACAAAGGUAUUGUAAUAAGACUUUAAUUGAGUGCUAAAAGAAUGGACUUUCAAAAAAUUACUAUCUUGAAUUUAAAAAUCGAAUUUAUUUUUAUUUGUGAAGAAACAAUAAUUUAGAUUAAGGACAAGAAGACCCUAAGAAUUUUUAAAUUUUAUUUAAAAUCUAGAUUUUAAAUAAAAUUUUUAAUUGGGGCGAUUAAAAAAUAUUAUUAACUUUAAAUUCAGGAAAAUGAUCCAUUAUUAAUGAUUAGAUGUAAAAAAUACUCUAGGGAUAACAGCGUAAUAAUUUUAGAUAGCUCAUAUAGAAAAAAUAGUUUGCGACCUCGAUGUUGGAUUAGGAUACUUUUUUAAUGAAGAAGUUAAAAAAAGAAGUUUGUUCAACUUUUAAAAUCCUACAUGAUCUG
rnacentral:rRNA from 1 species